rnacentral:rRNA from 1 species
AACGAACGCUGGCGGCAUGCCUAACACAUGCAAGUCGAACGAGACCUUCGGGUCUAGUGGCGCACGGGUGCGUAACGCGUGGGAACCUGCCCUUAGGUUCGGAAUAACUCCCCGAAAGGGGUGCUAAUACCGGAUAAUGUCUUCGGACCAAAGAUUUAUCGCCCUUGGAUGGGCCCGCGUUGGAUUAGCUAGUUGGUAGGGUAAAAGCCUACCAAGGCGACGAUCCAUAGCUGGUCUGAGAGGAUGAUCAGCCACACUGGGACUGAGACACGGCCCAGACUCCUACGGGAGGCAGCAGUGGGGAAUAUUGGACAAUGGGCGAAAGCCUGAUCCAGCAAGGCCGCGUGAGUGAUGAAGGCCUUAGAGUUGUAAAGCUCUUUUACCCGGGAUGAUAAUGACAGUACCGGGAGAAUAAGCUCCGGCUAACUCCGUG